rnacentral:lncRNA from 1 species
GCCCAGUCCAAACUUCUCAGGCCCAGUGUUCACUCUUGACUGCCUGCAGAAGCCCUACAGAUAAAUUUUCCAGCCGCAAAAAAAAAUCUUGUUUAUGCCUUUCCAGAAAAUGUAGCUGGGACCACAGCCAACUAGUCUACCUAUCAGCCAGCUGCUGAGAGGAGCCUGCCAGUCAGCUGAAGGGUCAGUGCCUGCCUUUGACUUUGACUCAGCUGCUGAGGCUACAUGACUCAUCCGAGAGUAAGAUACUCAGGAGACCCAAUGGAGCCUCCUCCUUGAGCUUCAGCUGUAAAUAUCAGGAGUCUCAGCCAUAAACCUAGCAACGGGCGAGAUAUUACUUUUCUCCUCUACGAAUGAGACAUUCCUUUGAAACACCAUACAUCAAACUUAUAAAAUGUUUUAUAUGUGGAUUUUAACAGCUAUUGGGAAUUCGCGGUCUCACUAUGUUUCUUGGAACUCCUAAGCUCAAGUGAUGUUCCCACCUCUCCCUCCCAAAGUGCUUGAAUUACAGGUGUAAGCUACAGUGCCUAGUCCCUUUUUCAUAUUUCUUUAGGUAUAUUUUUUCUGUCUAGCCUAUUUUAAGCAUUUCAAACAAAAAGCCGAUGUCAAUAUAGUAUUCAAAAAUGUAGAUGUUUAGAGGAAGUCAAGUAAAUGUACAGGGAGUGGCAAUGUCUUCCUUAUGAGUAGAGCAUCCACCUCAGAGCAAUCUUUGUCUUGCCUUUAUGUUGAGUUCUAGGAGAAUAAAUAAGCAGGAAGCAAAAAGGAGAGAAGUGGGCUGGAUCGCUGUGGUUCCUUCCUAGAGGAGGCAACAAAUAGGCAUUUGCUCAGAUCCUUAUAUUACACAAAAAGAUGAAUUCCUGAAGCCUGUGAAAUUAAAUAUUUUCAAA